GCCUACGGGGGGCAGCAGUAGGGAAUCUUCCACAAUGGGCGAAAGCCUGAUGGAGCAACGCCGCGUGGGUGAAGAAGGUCUUCGGAUCGUAAAACCCGGUUGUUAGAGAAGAAAGUGCGUGAGAGUAACUGUUCACGUUUCGACGGUAUCUAACCAGAAAGCCACGGCUAACUACGUGCCAGCAGCCGCGGUAAUACGUAGGUGGCAAGCGUUAUCCGGAUUUAUUGGGCGUAAAGGGAACGCAGGCGGUCUUUUAAGUCUGAUGUGUAAGCCUUCGGCUUAACCGGAGUAGUGCAUUGGAAACU
rnacentral:rRNA from 1 species